rnacentral:rRNA from 1 species
AGGACGAACGCUGGCGGCGUGCCUAAUACAUGCAAGUCGAGCGGAUUUAUUCCUUCGGGAAUAAGUUAGCGGCGGACGGGUGAGUAACACGUAGGUAACCUGCCUGUAAGACUGGGAUAACUCACGGAAACGUGUGCUAAUACCGGAUAAGUAAUCCACUCGCAUGAGAGGGUUAAGAAAGGCGGAGCAAUCUGCUACUUAUAGAUGGACCUGCGGCGCAUUAGCUAGUUGGUGAGGUAGAGGCUCACCAAGGCGACGAUGCGUA